rnacentral:rRNA from 1 species
CGUAGGUGGCAAGCGUUGUCCGGAUUUACUGGGUGUAAAGGGUGCGCAGGCGGGCCUUUAAGUAGGAAGUGAAAGGUUGGAGCUCAACUCCGACACUGCUUCCUAUACUGGGGGCCUUGAGUCUCGGAGAGGAAGCGGAACGACACGUGUAGCGGUGAAAUGCGUUGAUAUGUGUCGGAACACCAAUGGCGAAAGCAGCUUUCUGGACGAGUACUGACGCUCAGGCACGAAAGCCAAGGUAGCAAACAGGAUU